rnacentral:misc_RNA from 1 species
AGACGGGCAGAACAUCGUCCGCUUAUGUGGAGACACACGCACACACGAUCAGGGUAAGACCAGAGCAUUUCUCUUUCUCCCUGCACGUGGCAGCCUCCCUCCUCUCCGACUGUCGCGGCGCAUAUCGAGGUUUCUUGUACACCUUCUCCCACACCCCUACCUCCAUUAUCAACCGCAUGUGGGCUCGGCGGCGUAUAUUCCCGACUGUGGCGGUGCCGGCCACUCCGCACACGGCGGCGCUACGCACCCCGCUCUACGAUGAGCAAUGCAAUGAUAAGGCACGAGCAGCAGCCUUAACAUUGGAGGACAGCGCCUUCAACUUCGUUUCCGGUCUUGGCUACACUCUUGUCCCCGCCCUCGGCGCUGAGGAAGCGGCAGCGCUGCUGUCGUGGGCACUACCGCCUGAGUGGGCUGGAGACGGCAGCGUGUCAGAUGAGCUGCGGGCUUCGCGGCUGGCGGCAGCGCUGCACAACGCCGCUGUUCUCGGUGCGUGUACGCAGGUGGAGUACUUCUUCUUUGGCACAGACAACGGGCACGCCUUUCUCAUGCCAUUACUGCCUCCACACCUCCUCGAAGCCCUCGUUGCGGAGUGCGGCGAGACCACGCUGCCCGAGCUAGCCCAUCUCUGGAAACGCGAGACGGAGCUGGCGCAGGCGGCGGCGCGCGGCGAUGCUUUGGCCGCACGCGCCAUCGCAGAGGGCGGUCGCGCACCGCUCAACUGCGUCGGCCGUCGACUUCUGCACCGCCACGCCCGCGAGGAGCCGGUGACAGUCGUGGACCACCUAGGUACACUCUUCGCCUCCGCGGCAUCCUCUGGGGACACGAGUGUUGCAGUGAGCGUGUUUCAUCCUGUACCGGUUGGCAUUACGUGUCUGCCGCACCCGUCCGCGGUGCGGAGCACCAGAUUAUGGGAAGGUUCCGCCUUCACCCCAACGCCGAGUCGUAGCAAGGCUGGGGAAGAGAGCGACACGUCACUGCAAGGCGCGCUGCAGCACUGGCGCAAUGCCGUCCACGCCGCCGAGCCCACAGCUGUGUAUGUCUUCACUGGCGACGACACCGGUCUCGUGCGGCUGUGGCGUGUCGACGUGGUCGCCCGCUCCUAUACGCUGCAGCACGUGCUCAUGUGCAGUGCGAACAUGACGGGCAUGCUGUCCCCUCUCAGCCCGUUUGCGCGCGAGGACAACUCGAAGAAGGUGCCGUCCCGAGAUGCCGGCCGCGUCGUGCACUGUUUAGAAGUAGAUGAGCUGGCAGGCCGGGUGUUUGCCGGGACAGAGGGCGGUGUGUAUGUGUGGGCCAUCAACGCAUUGCCGUGGCGCGGUCCGGAGUCACCGUCAGCCGACGCGCUCGCCGCGCACCACCCGCUCUGCUGGGACGAGGAGCACCAAGCGCCGCUUCCCUGCGCGUUGUUGCGCUACGAGGCGUCGCUGCGGCAUGACUCCGACGCAGGCAGCAUGCUUCCUACAGCCUCUAGUGCCAAUUCUGAGAAGAUUGUGGAGUACCGCGCUUCGCGGCUCGCCAACCAUCACGUGUGGGUGCUGCCUGCAUCGAUUGUGCAGUCGGAGAUGGCGCGCGCGAUGGAGCGCGGUGGCAGCAGCGCCGGCCAGGUGAGCAGGUGGAAGCCCAAGCACGGUCGUAUGGUCACAGGCGGGGCGGCGGUCGGCGUGGUGUGGAACACUGUCAAGCUGAGCACGGCGGCGGUUUCCGGCGGCGGCGCCACAGUGGGCGACCGAUUAACGGACACGGUCGUGCCAGUUUCCUUCGAAGGCGGUGAGCUCAGGAAUGACCUGCGGGUGCCGCUCAGCUGCGUUGUGCCGGUCGUGUACCCGCUCGCCUUCCUCCGAACGCCAGGGACAGCGUGUUUUGCGCUUCGUGUGCUUGCCGGGAACCGUCGCCUCGUGACCAGCUGUGCCGAUGGCAGGGUGUGCGUGUGGACGUGCCGCCCGGACAAAGACGCCUGCACAGCUGUCGCCGAGACCUACGUGCCGCAGCUUGUGACGAGCACACGGCAGGAGCUUCGCGGCCUCGGGCGCCACAUUUGCGUGCUGCGCACCCCAGACGUAUUCGUCACAUGCUCCUACGAUGACGGCCUCGUGAAAGAGUGGCACGUGUACGACGAGCCGGAGGCACUGCUGCUGUGUGCGCGUCGCUUCGCCCUGGCGCCGUACCCCUCUGAAGGCAGCAGGGUGCAGCAGCAGCAGCAGCAGCAGCUCGCCGACGCCUUCAAGAGCAUGCACAAGCCCAAAACAGCCAACGUUGCGAUAGCAGGUAGCAACAGCGACGAGGUGUCGGCGGACGACGGUGAGGAUGGCGACGUUGUUGGUGGAAUCUCCUGCGCCGCCGCCUACCCCGCCUUCGGUGCUCUCUUCCUCGUUGGCGCCUUCGAGUCCGUCAUUCAGACGUACAGCCUCACGGAGGUGGCCGGCUGCGAGCCGCCGCGCGACUACGUGUACAAUGGCCACAAGACGGUGCGGCUGCCCGCCUCCAUGGCCGAAGACGUCUACCACGAGCUGCCAGCCAAGUAAGCGGCGACAAAGAGG